rnacentral:tRNA from 1 species
GUUAGUAUAGUUAAGGAAAACAGAUGUAUUGUGGUUACACUAAUGAAUGUAAAAUUCUGCUAACA